rnacentral:rRNA from 1 species
AUUGAACGCUGGCGGCAUGCUUUACACAUGCAAGUCGAACGGCAGCACGGGGGCAACCCUGGUGGCGAGUGGCGAACGGGUGAGUAAUACAUCGGAACGUGUCCUGAGGUGGGGGAUAACCUGGCGAAAGCCAGGCUAAUACCGCAUACGCUCGGAAGAGGAAAGCAGGGGACUCGCAAGAGCCUUGCGCGUCAGGAGCGGCCGAUGUCCGAUUAGCUAGUUGGUGGGGUAAAGGCCCACCAAGGCGACGAUCGGUAGCUGGUCUGAGAGGAUGAUCAGCCACACUGGGACUGAGACACGGCCCAGACUCCUACGGGAGGCAGCAGUGGGGAAUUUUGGACAAUGGGGGCAACCCUGAUCCAGCCAUGCCGCGUGAGUGAAGAAGGCCUUCGGGUUGUAAAGCUCUUUCGGUGGGAACGAAACGGGUAGUGCUAAUACCACUGCUCAAUGACGGUACUCACAGAAGAAGCACCGGCUAACUACGUGC